rnacentral:rRNA from 1 species
AGCCUGAACGCUGGCGGCGUGGCUAAGACAUGCAAGUCGUACGGUGUAGCAAUACACAGUGGCGAACGGGAGAGUAAUGAAUCGCUAAUGUGCCCCGGACUCUGGGAUAGCCAGUCGAAAGAUUGGGUAAUACCAGAUGACAUAUCUUUAUCGCAUGAUAGAGAUCUCAAAGGUCCGCCGGUCUGGGAGCAGGCGAUUUCGUAUCAGCUAGUUGGUGAGGUAACGGCUCACCAAGGCGACGACGCGUAGCCGGACUGAGAGGUUGGCCGGCCUCAUUGGGACUGAGACACUGCCCAGACUCCUACGGGGGGCUGCAGUAACGAAUCUUCCGCAAUGCACGAAAGUGUGACGGAGCGACGCCGCGUGUGGGACGAAGUCCUUCGGGAUGUAAACCACUGUCAGGGGUUACCAAGUUCUGAGGAGCCCAGAGGAAGGGACGGCUAACUCUGUGCUAGCAGCCGC